rnacentral:rRNA from 1 species
CCUACGGGAGGCAGCAGUGAGGAAUAUUGGUCAAUGGCCGAGAGGCUGAACCAGCCAAGUCGCGUGAGGGAAGAAUGUCCUAUGGAUUGUAAACCUCUUUUGUCAGGGAGCAAAGUCACCCACGUGUGGGUGUUGGAGAGUACCUGAAGAAAAAGCAUCGGCUAACUCCGUGCCAGCAGCCGCGGUAAUACGGAGGAUGCGAGCGUUAUCCGGAUUUAUUGGGUUUAAAGGGUGCGUAGGCGGGUUAUCAAGUCAGCGGUAAAAUCGUGGAGCUCAACUCCAUCCAGCCGUUGAAACUGAUGAUCUUGAGUGGGCGAGAAGUAUGCGGAAUGCGUGGUGUAGCGGUGAAAUGCAUAGAUAUCAGGAGGAAUACCGUUAGCGAAGGCGGCAAUCUGGCUGGAAACUGACGCUGAGGUGCGAAAGCGUGGGUAGCAAACAGGAUUAGAUACCCCUGUAGUC